rnacentral:misc_RNA from 1 species
UCUCCGUUGGUGAACCAGCGGAGGGAUCAUUACAGAGUUUUCACAACUCCCAACCCUUGCGAACCGUACCCAUUCGGUUCUCGUUGCUUCCGGCGGGGGGGACGGGGGGGCCCCAAACGGGCUGCCCGCCCCGCCCGCCGGGCGCCGCGGGCCCUACCAACCUUUAUAUCGCACCCAACAUAAACCUUCUGAGAAAACAAACAAAAAAAACAAUACAUUAAACAACGGAUCGCUUUGCUCUGGCAUCGAAGAAGAACACAGCGGAUGGGAAGAAGCACA